UACGUAGGGUGCAAGCGUUGUCCGGAAUUAUUGGGCGUAAAGAGCUCGUAGGCGGUUUGUCGCGUCGAAUGUGAAAACCCGAGGCUCAACCUCGGGCCUGCAUUCGAUACGGGCAGACUAGAGUUCGGUAGGGGAGUCUGGAAUUCCUGGUGUAGCGGUGAAAUGCGCAGAUAUCAGGAGGAACACCGGUGGCGAAGGCGGGACUCUGGGCCGAUACUGACGCUGAGGAGCGAAAGCGUGGGGAGCGAACAGG
rnacentral:rRNA from 1 species